rnacentral:rRNA from 1 species
UGGGGAAUAUUGCGCAAUGGGCGAAAGCCUGACGCAGCAACGCCGCGUGCGGGAUGACGGCCUUCGGGUUGUAAACCGCUUUCAGCAGGGACGAAACUGACGGUACCUGCAGAAGAAGCCCCGGCCAACUACGUGCCAGCAGCCGCGGUAAUACGUAGGGGGCGAGCGUUGUCCGGAUUCAUUGGGCGUAAAGAGCUCGUAGGCGGUUUAGCAAGUCGGGUGUGAAAUCUCCAGGCUCAACCUGGAGCGGCCAUUCGAUACUGCUAUGACUAGAGUCCAGUAGGGGAGUGUGGAAUUCCCGGUGUAGCGGUGAAAUGCGCAGAUAUCGGGAGGAACACCGGCGGCGAAGGCGGCACUCUGGGCUGGUACUGACGCUGAGGAGCGAAAGCGUGGGGAGCAAACAGGAUUAGAUACCCCCGUAGUCC